rnacentral:rRNA from 1 species
GAUGAACGCUGGCGGCGUGCCUAAUACAUGCAAGUCGAGCGAACAGACGAGGAGCUUGCUCCUCUGACGUUAGCGGCGGACGGGUGAGUAACACGUAGAUAACCUACCUAUAAGACUGGGAUAACUUCGGGAAACCGGAGCUAAUACCGGAUAAUAUAUUGAACCGCAUGGUUCAAUAGUGAAAGACGGUUUUGCUGUCACUUAUAGAUGGAUCCGCGCCGCAUUAGCUAGUUGGUAAGGUAACGGCUUACCAAGGCGACGAUGCGUAGCCGACCUGAGAGGGUGAUCGGCCACACUGGAACUGAGACACGGUCCAGACUCCUACGGGAGGCAGCAGUAGGGAAUCUUCCGCAAUGGGCGAAAGCCUGACGGAGCAACGCCGCGUGAGUGAUGAAGGUCUUCGGAUCGUAAAACUCUGUUAUUAGGGAAGAACAAAUGUGUAAGUAACUAUGCACGUCUUGACGGUACCUAAUCAGAAAGCCACGGCUAACUACGUG